GGGGGCGUAGCUCAGCGGUAGAGCAUCCGCCUUGCACGCGGAAGGUCAGGAGUUCGAAUCUCCUCGCCUCCAUCA
rnacentral:tRNA from 2 species